UACGAGGGGUCCUAGCGUUGUUCGGAAUCAUUGGGCGUAAAGAGCUCGUAGGUGGCCUAGUAAGUCGCGUGUGAAAGCCCCCGGCUCAACUGGGGAGGGUCACGCGAUACUGUUCGACUCGAAGGCAGGAGAGGGAAGUGGAAUUCCCGGUGUAGUGGUGAAAUGCGUAGAUAUCGGGAGGAACACCAGUGGCGAAGGCGACUUCCUGGCCUGUUCUUGACGCUGAGGCGCGAAAGCUAGGGUAGCAAACGGG
rnacentral:rRNA from 1 species